CUAAAGAGGCCACAAGGGUCUGAAUCACUCAGAUCAAAUUUGCCUGCCAAGAUGGAGCUUGGAGCAUAGGAGUUUUAUCAGGAGGUGAAGAAAGGCUCCAGGAUUGAUGAGAAGAGCGAUGGAUUUGAGCUGCUCGGAGAUACAACAAGAGUAAGAAGAAGAGCAGAAAUAAGUUAUUUUCAAAAAAAGAAAAAUUCCUGAAGCUUCACAUACUUGUCUUCCUUCCAAAGAGCCCUCUGACCCAGGCAAGGGUUUCUGAAAUCCUUAAUCAUUUUCUGCUCACUGAAAAUCCUCACUGA
rnacentral:lncRNA from 1 species